rnacentral:rRNA from 1 species
AACGAACGCUGGCGGCAUGCCUAACACAUGCAAGUCGAACGAGACCUUCGGGUCUAGUGGCGCACGGGUGCGUAACGCGUGGGAAUCUGCCCUUCGGUUCGGAAUAACUCAGGGAAACUUGAGCUAAUACCGGAUAAUGACGUAAGUCCAAAGAUUUAUCGCCGAAGGAUGAGCCCGCGUAGGAUUAGCUUGUUGGUGGGGUAAUGGCCCACCAAGGCGACGAUCCUUAGCUGGUCUGAGAGGAUGAUCAGCCACACUGGGACUGAGACACGGUCCAGACUCCUACGGGAGGCAGCAGUGGGGAAUAUUGGACAAUGGGCGAAAGCCUGAUCCAGCAAUGCCGCGUGAGUGAUGAAGGCCUUAGGGUUGUAAAGCUCUUUUACCCGGGAUGAUAAUGACAGUACCGGGAGAAUAAGCUCCGGCUAACUCCGUG